rnacentral:ncRNA from 1 species
CGUACCUUUCGGGGCAGGGUGAAAUUCCCUACCGGCGGUGAUGAGCAUCUGCUCUUAGUCCGUGACCCGGUGUUACCGGUGGAUUUGGUGAAAUUCCAAAGCCGACAGUUAAAGUCUGGAUGGGAGAAAGGAAAU